AUGCAACGGAGAUUCCUGGAUGCAAUGGCAAUUGUCCAGCGGUGGGGCAAACCAGAUUAUUUUAUUACGAUGACUUGCAACCCCUAUUGGGAGGAGAUAACAGAGAAACUAUUGAAUGGACAACUGUCACAAGACCGUCCAGACCUGGUGGCAAGAGUAUACAGAGCUAAACAACGACAUAUGAUGGACUUACUAACUAAGGGUAAGCAUUUCGGAGAAGUAGCAGCUUAUGUACAUGUCACGAAGUUUCAGAAUCGAGGCCUCCCUCAUGAGCAUAUACUUCUAAUCAUGAAAGCAAAAAGCAAGUUAGCGACCCCAGAUGACUAUGAUCGGGUGAUAUCUGCAGAGAUACCUGACAAAGAGAAACACCCCGUUCUACAU
rnacentral:rRNA from 1 species